GGUCGAGAGAAAAGGGCAACAGAUGUCCUUCCGUAUGACGCAUGACUCGUUUGGCCCUUGGCGAGAUAGUACAGUUUGCGUCUCACUACCCUACGGAAGUAUUGUACGUCACGGAAACGAAGCUAACCCUGUCGUUAGAAGGAACGUUAGUUGAAAACCGGUUUCGGAGGGGAAUAGCUUUGAGAUGUUUGAUUCGAAGAUCCCUAAGAAAAUAUGAACGAUUUAAUCGACUUAAUUUAAAACAAGAAAAACAUGUGUGAAAUAGUAAAAGGUCAACGCAGAGCGUUUCGCGACCAAGACCCUCCACGGAUAUGCAAUAAAAGCAACGAAAAUUUGAAAAGCGAACUGGAAUUUUGUGAAUCGACUGCAACUUCGCCGACGAUUCUUCAACGAGCAUCCAGCUUCGAAAGGUGCUUCAACGAGUCUAAGCAUCUUGAGAAGGGCAAACAGAAUCAGAAAAAAGAGAAAGUAAACUCGAUCAAACAGGAAAGUACUUGGUCCGAUUCCAUUAAAGACUCGAAAGACAGUGCCAAGGUAUCGAAUGAAUUGCCAGCUGCUUCAAAUCAGACGAACUCGGAGAAUUUGAUCAAGGAGCUUUCUGACAAAGUGCCUUCCAACAGCCAUCACGACGAUGAGGUGAUCGAUAACGGACUGAACAACGAUACGGACAGCUGCGACGAUUUAACAAACGGACAAAAAAUGGCACCGGUAUUGGGUGUACCACCUCCUCCUCCACCUGCUCCUCACAUGGGACCAGAUGGCUUAAUCUUACCGAGAAAACCGUACAACCCUUACCUAACCUCCAGCAACCAUAAGGACCUCCGCAGGGAAUUAUUAUUCAAUCAGAAAGUCGGCAAAAACGUGCUGAAUCAGAAGAGCGAGCUGCAGCGAGCACUCGAGAAGCAGAGGGAAGCUGCCUCCAGGAGAGAGGCUGAAAGGAAUCGGGAAGAGAAUUACAAAGACGAUCCAAGAACCGCCUUACAAAGGGCCAUCGAGCAAAGAGCGAAGCACAUCGAGAUGGCAGUCAGUGUUUCUCCCUCCUUUCUUCCUUUGUUUCUUUAUCUUUCUUAAGGUUAUUCGGUAAAUUGAAACAGGUCCUAUAAAUCCGUGGCAAGAUACAUAGAGCUGGAGCAGUCGCAACCGACGACGGAACCACCGAGCAACCUUUUGGUAACAGCGAGAGCGAAGUUGAGACCGCGCACAGAUUCACAAUGAAGUUACGUCAAAGGAGACAAGAAAAGAAAAGAAACGAAAGAGAGGCAGAAAGAAAGGUCGAACGUAAAACGUGACACGUACGCUGUCGCCCGAGUGAGCAACGAUCAAAUUGCGUUGUAACGCGGACUUUUGUCACAUUUUGUAAUUUGACCAUGUACAUAUUAUAUGUUUAAUCCGAUAAGAAUUCGUUAACGGCAAAAUAAGAUUGUACGAGUCUUCGUUGAAGAUAAAGUAUUGUAACGAGGCAUGUUAGAUAACGCAGAACCGAAAAACAGUGGAAAAUAGGUCGUGUCUAUGUAUCGAUACAUUUAUUCAUUUAAAGAAUAUUCAUUUGUGCGUUUUUCGUGCUAAAAGUAGAUAAUUGCCUCGCUCUUCCAAAGUUCUCAGAGAGCGCGGAUGCGCGCACUAGCCGAUUCAUUUCGUCUUCUAAGCGACGUUAGUCUAGUUAGAUAGUACAUACAACCGUAACCAUUGUUUUCCAUAUCUGUGAAAAACACGUGAAUCGAAACGACGUAUAUGUAUCCGCGCGCAUAGCCGAGUCAGGUCUUUUCAAACGAUAAGUCUGCAGAUCGCUGACUCAAACGUCGUUGUAAAACCGAUACUUGGUUUGUUAGUGGCGUAUAUAGCACUCGUUCAACGUGUAACUUGCUUACGCGUGUCAGCGACGCGGUAUGAUGCGUUGUGUCCUCGUUACUUCGCCUAGUUAUCCGAGACACAAGGUGUCGAGGUUUGCAACAGAUUGGCCUUUAUAGAACGCCUUGACGAGAAAAUAGUUUACUUGGUCGUUCGAUACUUUGUUACGUGCUCGAGAUUUUUCAGAGCCUUCACAUCUAAGGACUAAUACCGUUAGAGUAAUUAAGAGACCAGUCAUGAGUAGCAUAGAGAAUUUUAAAACGAAUACAUAUGUGCAAGAUGUAUGUGUGCGACGUUAGUUUAUUAUCGUGCCUGAAUUUAUACCAAGACUAGACCUGAAUACGAAGUACAGAGAUAGUGUUUUGCCACAAUAGAAUUGGAAUAGUAGAAUCGAUACCUUGGGACCAUCGUUCACUCGUAAUCAACUACUAACAGUUAAACGAAAGAAACAUUCAGUAGGUUGAUAUAGUAGCAUUUAUUAAACUCCACUGUUUAUAAUUCAUAAAAUGAAUAAAAUAUAUAUUGUUGCAAUCAAGGUAUUAUAGGAACGUGAUGGUACAUUCGAAUUUAACAAGUUUUCUAUUGAUAACAGUGCAUCACCGUACGUCUUCUUCUACUGUUUCAGAAAUAGAAUAAAGAUAAUCGUAUUAUUUGGAAAUAAUCGUAAUAAAAAAUUCUACGAAACACUAAAGAAUCUCGUUAAUAAGUUGACGUGUAAAUGUAAACAGAAAUUGUAAUGUUAUCGCGUUGACUGCAUUAAACUUCGAUUUGUGCAAACUAAUCGUAAUAUUUAAAACUAUUAUCAUAUUGGAGCAAUUAAAAUAUUAAAUAUAUUUUAUUCAACGUCAAUAAUAA